GACGAACGCUGGCGGCGUGCCUAAUACAUGCAAGUCGAGCGAACAGACGAGGAGCUUGCUCCUCUGACGUUAGCGGAGGACGGGUGAGUAACACGUGGAUAACCUACCUAUAAGACUGGGAAAACUUCGGGACACCGGAGCUAAUACCGGAUAAUAUAUUGAACCGCAUGGUUCAAUAGUGAAAGACGGUUUUGCUGUAACUUAUAGAUGGAUCUUAGCCGCAUUAGCUAGUUGGUAAGGUAACGGCUUACCAAGGCGACGAUGCGUAGCAGACCUGAUAGGCUGGUCGGCCACACUGGAACUGAGACACGGUCCUGACUCCUACGGGAGGCAGCAGUAGGGAAUCGUCCGCAAUGGUCGAAAGCCUGACGGAGCAACGCCACGUGAGUUAUGAAGGUCUUCGGAUCGUAAAGCUCUGUUAUGAGUGAAGAACAAAUGUGGAAGUAACUAUGCACGUCUUGACGGUACCGAAUCAAAAAGCCACGGCUAACUACGUG
rnacentral:rRNA from 1 species